AAUGCGACUUUCUCACUGGUAUAUACAAUUAGAGUAUUUAAGGGCCUGUUGCCAGUUAGCAAUAAAAUAGUGAGUGGAGAGUCCUUGUGAAAUGUUACUCCUUUUAAUUAAAGGAGCAGGUUUAAUGAAUAACUCUUUCAGUCAAUUUCUUUAGCUUGAUAUUGUAAGUCAUCUAUUGAAGAGUUCCACUCAGACAACGAAGUUAAGGAGAAGUUAUAAAAUAGAAAGUGUAACAUAAAUAACAGCUAACCAAUUUAUUCUAGUUGUAUCUAUAGGACUAAAUAUAAUAGACAGUUUAAAGAGGGAAGAGUAUAAGAUUUUUAAGCCACCAUUUCGUUUUACUCAAACCUAAAGGUCCGAGGAUCAUUUUUAAAAAUACUUUUGGCACUUUAAGACACUUCAUUUCUGUGACCUUUUUGCUAAACUGCACUAAAGUCAAGACUUUACUAUCAAGCCAUGCUGUUUUUGAGAGCUCUGGCGAUCUUAAUUUUGUUUGUCGUAAUUUGUUCAACAUGCAACAGCGUCAUACUCAGGCCUAGAUGGUAUCCAUAUUUUAAAAAAGAAGGUGACUCGAGCAGUUCGGGCCAGGUCCAGUUGACAGAAACCUCUGGAGCAAGACAAGCCAGAACAGUGAGGAUGGAGCCAUGUCAAGAUACUCUGUAUGACCAGAACUGCAAUACAUUUAUUCUGAUGGCUAUCAGGCAGCUUCUCAAUAGAGAAGACAAUCAAAAUUAAAUGUCAAGUCUUGCCUUCUUGAUAGUUUCUGGUCGCACUAUACAUCAAUACAUAGGCCCUAAAGGUAGAUAGUUUCUAGUCGCAAUAAACAUCAGUACAUAGGCCCUAUAGGUAAAUAGUUUCUAGUCGCAAUAAACAUCAAUACAUUGGGCCCUAUAGGUAAAUAGUUUCUAGUCGCAAUACACAUCAAUACAUAGGUCCUAUAGGUAAAUAGUUUCUAGUCGCAAUACACAUCAAUACAUAGGCCCUAUAGGUAAAUAGUUUCUUGUCGCACUAUACAUCAAUACAUAGGUCCUAUAUGUAGACAGUUUCUGAUUGCACUAUACAUCAAUACAUAGGCCCUAUUGUUAGAGAGUUUCUGGUCGCAAUUAACAUCAAUACAUAGGUCCUAUAUGUAGACAGUUUCUGAUUGCACUAUACAUCAAUACAUAGGCCCUAUUGUUAGAGAGUUUCUGGUCGCAAUUAACAUCAAUACAUAGGUCCUAUAUGUAGACAGUUUCUGAUUGCACUAUACAUCAAUAUAUAGGCCCUAAGGUAGAUAGUUUCUUGUCGCAAUAUACACCAAUACACAGGCCUAUUUGUUAGAGAGUUUCUGGUCGCAAUUAACAUUAAUACAUUGGGCCCUAUAGGUAAAUAGUUUCUUGUCGCACUAUACAUCAAUACAUAGGCCCUAUAUGUAGACAGUUUCUGAAUGCACUAUACAUCAAUAUAUAGGCACUAAUGUUAGAGAGUUUCUGGUCGCAAUUAACAAAUUAACAUUGAUACAUUGGGCCCUAUAGGUAGAUAGAUAUUCAAACAAGUGAGUUGCAGAUAUUUCAGCUCUAUUUGUAUGUUCUUUGUUUUCAAUCACUAUUUCUUUGCUGCCGUCAUCAAAAUUUCUGCACAUUAUAUACAUUGGUGUUUCCCAAACCGUGUUCCAUGAGGUCUGAAUAGGUGUUUCAAUAACUACUGGAAUAAUUAACUAGUAGGCUACCACAUGAAUUAAUGUCUCUAAAGAAAAAAAAAAAAGCAAGUGUUCCGAUAAAUACUCAGAAUGUAUAAAGUGUUUCCGUUAGAGAGUUUGGUAAACACUGAUCUACAUAAUCAAAGUUGUAUAUUCUCAUAUCUUCAGUGGUUAUUAUUGGACCUAACAAAAAAUAGAAUGAGUAACAACCAUUACUAAGAAAAUAAUUGUGUACUUUUUGGUUGUCAGGAGAGUUACCUAUUUCAAAGGUGCUGAGUUGAAUGUAUAAUGUAUCAUUUGGAUCAGAAAUAAAUCAUGGGUAUUCCAUGACCACACUCAAA